rnacentral:rRNA from 1 species
UACGUAGGGUGCGAGCGUUGUCCGGAAUUACUGGGCGUAAAGAGCUCGUAGGUGGUUUGUCGCGUCGUCUGUGAAAUUCCGGGGCUUAACCUCGGGCGUGCAGGCGAUACGGGCAAUACUUGAGUGCUGUAGGGGAGACUGGAAUUCCUGGUGUAGCGGUGAAAUGCGCAGAUAUCAGGAGGAACACCGAUGGCGAAGGCAGGUCUCUGGGCAGUAACUGACGCUGAAGAGCGAAAGCAUGGGUAGCGAACAGGAUUAGA